AGCCUGAUGCAGCGACGCCGCGUGAGGGAUGACGGCCUUCGGGUUGUAAACCUCUUUCAGCAGGGAAGAAGCGCAAGUGACGGUACCUGCAGAAGAAGCGCCGGCUAACUACGUGCCAGCAGCCGCGGUAAUACGUAGGGCGCGAGCGUUGUCAGGAAUUAUUGGGCGUAAAGAGCUCGUAGGCGGCUUGUCGCGUCGGAUGUGAAAGCCCGGGGCUUAACCCCGGGUCUGCAUUCGAUACGGGCAGGCUAGAGUUCGGUAGGGGAGAUCGGAAUUCCUGGUGUAGCGGUGAAAUGCGCAGAUAUCAGGAGGAACACCGGUGGCGAAGGCGGAUCUCUGGGCCGAUACUGACGCUGAGGAGCGAAAGCGUGGGGAGCGAACAGGAUUAGAUACCCUGGUAGUCCACGCCGUAAACGGUGGGCACUAGGUGUGGGCGACAUUCCACGUCGUCCGUGCCGCAGCUAACGCAUUAAGUGCCCCGCCUGGGGAGUACGGCCGCAAGGCUAAAACUCAAAGGAAUUGACGGGGGCCCGCACAAGCGGCGGAGCAUGUGGCUUAAUUCGACGCAACGCGAAGAACCUUACCAAGGCUUGACAUACACCGGAAACGUCCAGAGAUGGGCGCCCCCUUGUGGUCG
rnacentral:rRNA from 1 species